CAUCAUAAAUCGCUUGACAGAAGGACGAAGGCCAAGAAGCUUGGUGAGUUGAUAAUCGCAACCAGGCAUAUCAACACCAGAAGUUGUGCAAAAGAUAAGGUGAGUGAUCUUAGACUUUGGUUGGCCCCAUUCUUUGAUAGCUUUAGUUGCUGCUUCCUUUCCAAGCUUUGGAACUUCCACCACCACAAUGUCUUGGCGAGCAUCAAGAGAAGGUUCCCAGUAAGCGCACAUGUUCGGAUUCUCUUUCAAGAUUUCUUCAUCUAAAUGCAUGUAACGUUUCUUGAUCAUAGAUUUAUCACCUGUUAAUAUGUUACCACAUAAAAUAAAUUUCCAUGAAAAAUCACUCUCUUUCUUUUCUUGAAUAAUCAAGAUUCAACAAGCACAUUUAAAGAGAAAAAUGAACGUACACAUGCGCUUGAACUUUUCUUUCAACUCAGUCAUGUGCUCGCUAUUAGUGAUCCUGAAGUAAUAAUCAGGAUAAUCAGCCUGGUUGACGCAGUUGGAGGGGGUGGCGGUGCCAAUGGCGAGGAUGGUGGCCGGACCCUGGGCUCUCUGAGCCUUUCUGAUCUCUUCUAC
rnacentral:lncRNA from 1 species